GGUCUGAGAGGUGGGCUGAGGGGAGUGGCCAAGUUUUGAGAAAAGCGGAGUGGUGAGCGGGAGGACGCGCCUGAUGCUGAGAGCCCGAGGCCAAGGGCGCGGCGGUCUUGGAGCGCUGAGGAAGGUUUGGCGAGCGGAGCGGGUCAGCUCGUUUCUGUGGUGUAACCUCCCCCACCCCCGCUCCCGCCCUUCCGGACCCUUCCGUGCUCAGGUGUGGGCCUCACUCGGUGCAGUCUGCGGGAGGUUGCAAAGCUUUAGUUUCGCGUUUGUAGCAUAACCGGCAAUCCCAGUGAACAGGUUUUCCAGCCAAAUGAAGGGCAGCCAAACGGAAGGCUACAAUUUUCCCUUCCCAACCAGGGAUGGCAUCGUCAUCGUGGAAAACCUAGAGGAAGAAAAAGAAGCCACAGUGAAAAAAAUAACAGGAUAAGACAGUGACUCUCACUAGACAACUGCUGCUGCUAAAAGUUAUUUCUAACAGGGAACAGGAACUUUCCUGACAGGCAUUGUUGCUCAGAGUCAGAAGAGGUCAAAGAAGCCAGGCAAGAUUUCAGCAAAGGAAGAAUGGACGCAAUAGCAGGAGCUACAGACACAGCCAACAUUCAGACAGCGGGAGAAAAUGCUCAUGCAAUCCACGGACAGAGAAAUGAGCAGGGACGAGAAUCACAGGAGCACAGUAACGUUAGAAACUGAGAUUCCAAGGGGCCUUAUGCUUCCUGUACCAAAGGUACGAGACCAGGGUGCCUGGGUGGCUCAGCUGGUUAAGUGACCACCUGUGCUGACAGCACAGAGCCUGCGUGGGAGUCUCUCUCUCCCUCUCUUUCUCUGUCCUUCCCCUGCUAGCAUGCUCUCUCUCUCUCAAAAUAAAUAAAUAAACUUAAAAAAAUAAAAAUAAAGGUACAAGACCUACCUUAUCUCUUGGCUACACAGGAUCUAUAUGUGUGGGUCCCAUGGUUUUUAGCUCAAAUUCCUUGGUCCACAUCUUAUCUCUACCCUUUGUAUAGGUACUUAAGGAAAAUUUUUAAUUAAUAAGUACCUAUGAUUAUGACUUUAAUAGGAGAAAAGACUAAUUAGAAACUUUUAUCAUAAGAACGAACAACAAUUAUUGUUGUAUCUUAUAAUCUACUUAAUGUGGUUGUUAUAAUCCUAAAAUCUCUCCUGCAAUUCCACUUACACAUAUUUUCUUAACUUAUUCUAGGCAUUUCAACAUCCUUUUCAUAUCUGAGUCUACUCUCGCGUAGACACUGAUGGACUCUUAACAGUGGCUUGCAUCUUUCUUGCUUUUGUGGAUGUCUCCUAAUUUACUACUGAAUGUCAGACAUCAUAUGUAAGACAGUAGAGAAUGACUUACAAAAUGUUUAUGUUUAGAAAUGCGCACACUGCUUGUUCCCCAGCCAUUAGUAGGGAUUGUUAAUCUAGACAGGAAUUGAGCUGGGAUUGGGAUUUUUGUUAAGGUUACUUUUGGUGUACCACCAUCUUUAAAUUCCUCUAGAAUUAUGUUUAUUUAAAAACAGAUUUAAAAAAUAAAUAAAAAGAAAAGGAUUCACCCAACUUCUA